UACAGGGGGUGCAAACGUUGCUCGGAAUCAUUGGGCGUAAAGCGCACGUAGGCGGUUCGUUAAGUCGGAUGUGAAAGCCCUCGGCUCAACUGAGGAAGUGCACCCGAAACUGGCGAGCUUGAGUACGAAAGAGGAUCGCGGAAUUCCCGGUGUAGAGGUGAAAUUCGUAGAUAUCAGGAGGAACACCGGUGGCGAAGGCGGGUCUCUGGGCAGUAACUGACGCUGGAGGAGCGAAAGCGUGGGGAGCGAACAGG
rnacentral:rRNA from 1 species